UGAAGAGUCAUUCUGUAUUCCCAGGAGGAGAGAAUUAUAGCAAAAAUGUCAGAGAUAGCGGCAACGCCGACAACCUUCCCGCCUAUUAACAGGGGACAUAAGCAUGUUGAAUCUGAACAACCUAAGAAGCGGCGAUCGAAGAGCAAGAAACUUCCACAGAUCGAACACUAUAAAACUUUUAAGCCUCCAGAAAGAGAUUACAGAGAUACUGAAUUGGAAAAGUUUUCAACUUUCAUCAGUUCGUAUACAG